UGUGAAAAACAGAGGUGAGAUGGCC
rnacentral:piRNA from 1 species